ACUCCUACGGGAGGCAGCAGUGGGAAUAUUGCACAAUGGGCGCAAGCCUGAUGCAGCCAUGCCGCGUGUGUGAAGAAGGCCUUCGGGUUGUAAAGCACUUUCAGUAAGGAGGAAAGGUUAGUCACUAAUAUUGGCUAGCUGUGACGUUACUUACAGAAGAAGCACCGGCUAACUCCGUGCCAGCAGCCGCGGUAAUACGGAGGGUGCGAGCGUUAAUCGGAAUUACUGGGCGUAAAGCGCAUGCAGGCGGCCUGUUAAGUCAGAUGUGAAAGCCCGGGGCUUAACCUCGGAAUUGCAUUUGAAACUGGCAGGCUAGAGUCUUGUAGAGGGGGUGAGAAUUUCAGGUGUAGCGGUGAAAUGCGUAGAGAUCUGAAGGAAUACCAGUGGCGAAGGCGG
rnacentral:rRNA from 1 species